UACGUAGGGGGCAAGCGUUGUCCGGAUUUAUUGGGCGUAAAGGGCUCGCAGGUGGUUCGUUGCGUCGUGCGUGAAAGCCCCCGGCUCAACUGGGGAGUGUCGUGCGAUACGGGCGGACUGGAGGCCAGUAGGGGGAUGCGGAAUUCCGGGUGUAGUGGUGGAAUGCGUAGAGAUCCGGAGGAACACCAGCGGCGAAGGCGGCAUCCUGGACUGGUCCUGACACUCAGGAGCGAAAGCGUGGGGAGCGAUCCGG
rnacentral:rRNA from 1 species